GUGGUUGUAGCUCAGUUGGUUAGAGUAUCGGUUUGUGGUACCGAGAGUCGCGGGUUCGAGUCCCGUCUUCCACCC
rnacentral:tRNA from 1 species